AUUGAACGCUGGCGGCAGGCUUAACACAUGCAAGUCGAGCGGAGAGAGGUAGCUUGCUACCGAUCUUAGCGGCGGACGGGUGAGUAAUGCUUAGGAAUCUGCCUAUUAGUGGGUGACAACAUUUCGAAAGGAAUGCUAAUACCGCAUACGUCCUACGGGAGAAAGCAGGGGAUCUUCGGACCUUGCGCUAAUAGAUGAGCCUAAGUCGGAUUAGCUAGUUGGUGGGGUAAAGGCCUACCAAGGCGACGAUCUGUAGCGGGUCUGAGAGGAUGGUCCGCCACACUGGGACUGAGACACGGCCCAGACUCCUACGGGAGGCAGCAGUGGGGAAUAUUGGACAAUGGGCGCAAGCCCGAUCCAGCCAUGCCGCGUGUGUGAAGAAGGCCUUAUGGUUGUAAAGCACUUUAAGCGAGGAGGAGGCUACUUUAGUUAAUACCUAGAGAUAGUGGACGUUACUCGCAGAAUAAGCACCGGCUAACUCUGUGCCAGCCGCCGCGGUAA
rnacentral:rRNA from 1 species